rnacentral:rRNA from 1 species
CAAUAGCGUAUAUUAAAGUUGUUGCAGUUAAAAAGCUCGUAGUUGGAUUUCUGGUUGAAGCGACCGGUCGGGCGUUGAUUCGUCUGCACUGGAGUCGGUUUUGGCCAUCCUCUAGGAAAGUGCGUCUGGCAUUAAGCUAUCGGGCGUAUGAUCCUGGUCUUUUACUGUGAAAAAAUUAGAGUGUUUAAAGCAGGCCUUCGCCUUGAAUACAUUAGCAUGGAAUAAUAAGAUAGGACUUUGGUCUAUUUUGUUGGUUUGCAGACCGAAGUAAUGAUUAAUAGGGAUAGUUGGGGGUAUUUAUAUUCCGAUGUCAGAGGUGAAAUUCUUAGAUUUUUGGAAGAUAAACUUAUGCGAAAGCAUUUACCAAGGAUGUUUUCAUUAA